rnacentral:tRNA from 1 species
AUAUCAAUAGCUCAAUUGGCAGAGCAGUUAUGUGUUAAAUAACUUGUUAGGGGUUCGAAUCCCCUUCGAUAUU